CCAUUCCUGAGCUUGUGGAUUGCAGCGGUCAGUCGUGAGUGUAUUUGGACCCCGAGGAUGAUUAACAAGGAAGGGAAAUCGCUAGCCAUGUGUGCCAAGCUUGUUCAGCCUUGGAGUUCCCAAUAAGGCACAAGGUCGCGCGCACCGAUUGUGACGACACAGUGAUUAAUCCGGAUUUGUCGAGUCACGGGGAUUGGGGAAUAGACUGGUUUAAAAACCGCGACGGAAUUCGUGGCCUUUUAUAUUCGGGACAGACAGCAGACGAGAAGGAGACAAAAAAGAUAAAAAUAUGAAGAAUUUUUUAAGCACACCGUUAGUCCUAGUAGUAUUUCUCCUGAUUUCUGGGGAUAUUUUGAAAGCUCAGGGCGGACGGAAAAACCAGGA